UCAGCUCUAGUUGUUGUUGUUGGUUGUAGAUAAUGAGGACUCUCAUAAGAUUGCUCUUCUUUCUGCUCUAUUUUAUAUAUUUGUUUAAUGUUAUGAUACUGAUAAUUUCUUUUUAUAUUUUAUGAAUGAAAUAAAUAAAUACUCUGAACAGAAUCCUACUUUGUAAACAGAUACCACAAAUUUAAUUGCAAUAUUUAUCAGAAAAAGUGCAAUUAGGUUUUUCUUUUUUUGUUGUUGUUGUUGGGGUUGUUUUGUGUAACCCACAGGUGGCGUUACAGGGACAGGUAUCGCUGAGUCACAGUGACACAGACCCACAGUGACAUGAGAGCACUCUGAUCACAGCAUCAGACUCAUGGAGAGACUAACGGCAGCUCCUUUGGUCACAUAAGGCGUGUUUCGUAAACACCUGGGUGUCAAGUUUCCAAAUAUUCACUUCAGUUUUACUCACGGUCUAGUUAUUUUAGAUUGUAAGGCAAGGCAAUGGAAGUUUAUUUAUAUGGCACAAUUCAUACACAAGUAAUUCAGAGGGCUAUGAAGAAUAAGAAAGACUUUAAAAUCACAAUACAAACAAAUCAAAACAUAAAUAAUCAUCAUAGAAUGAACAUUAAAAGACAAGAGUGCAGAAUUGUACAGUUCUCGGCCUUUUUCUGAGCCAUAGUAAUUAGGUGUUUGACUGUCUACAACUCAGAGCUUAUCAUAAAAAGAAAAAAGAAAAGAUACCCACAAUAAAUACUGACUUCCAGAAAUUAUUGUUCUAUUAUUAUUGAUGUAUAAUUUACUGAGCCAUAAGUCAAUAUAGUAAUUAUUUUUUAUUAUUAUGUCAGUUGUUCUGAAAUACAAUUGUUUUUCUUAGACUGUUCAAAAGGAUGGCAGGCGUAUUUUAUCGCCAUGUGACACCACCAGGUCCGUUAAGUUAAGAGAAAGAUCUUGCAUAUAUUUAGUUACUGAUGUUUUUAUUGCUCAAAAAUACAUUGAAAUACUUGCGUUCUUUCUUGUAUUGUUUGUAUGUGCUCGCUUCUCCUCAGAUCUGACCUGGAACUUGACCUGGUGGUGUAACUUUUUUGUCUCUGUGAAGAUGGAUAUGUUUAAUAUCACGCAAAACCAAAACCACGCAGACAAACAUGAAAGUUACAUAGUUCACCUUUAAUUGUGAAUUAUACCAAAAUCUCUUAAACAUCCAUGAAAUGUUAAUAACUCCACUAUAUCUUACUUACUCAAAUUAUUAACAAUGAUGAGCCCAAAGAGGAAUUAACUUCAUUUUAAAACAAUUUAGGACAAUUUAAUAUUGCAAAACAAAGUACAGUCAGCACUUUUCUGCAUUAUGAAAACCACACCAAGUAAAAAAAAAAAGUACUUUCUAACUCUUGCGUUGGUAGUGGUUUUUAUUUCUUCACCACUUCUCUUUGUGGGUCCUAUUAUGUUAUACCUACGCUUUACAGUACAAUUGUCCUGAAAAUCCUGUUCCAUUUCUGUGUUGUGAUAACAAGCACGUGUGUAGCUACCGCUAUGUGCUGUUUCACCCGGAUGCCCUUCCUAUGUGCCAUCAUCCUGUCACAGGCUCCGGAAGUUACAACCCCGCCUGGACAUUGCCCUAUCUCUUUUUCAGUUGGGUGCUGCUGGGUACUCGUGUAUUGCGUAAUGCCAACUGUCGAAGUGCGUCACUGGGAGCACCCUUCCUACACAUGAAACAGACAGAGUACACACACGUAACUGCUGCUGAUUUGAAUAAUAACUGAAUGUUAAGUGCCUUAGUAUUAAAAGCUUUAAUAUGCAACUUUUCUGUUUGGGUCUGUCAUCUUCAUUGUUCUACUUCAGAUGUUCCACAGUGUGACAUUGAACAGAUCUGACCAGUAACUUGGCCUGGUUUGGUCUCCAUGAUGAAGGAAACACUGAAACAUUUCUGACAAAGCAAUAACAUCUCCAUGGAGAAAAGCAUUUGACAGACCCUCCAUCAGAAAAGUUACACUUAAGUUACACAGUUAUCCUAAAAAAGGGUCUUAUAUCUGUGUUUUUUAUAUUGUAUAGUAAUAAAUUGUAUUGAGUUUAUUGUUCACAAUGCUCUCAUGUCAGAACACAAUUGGUUUAUGACUGUCUAAUUAGUCAACAGGUAGUGAAGUGUAUAACUGGACAUUUUAUAGUGAAUUUGUAUAGUAUUGCAGUAAAGCACCUUGUAUUUUGAGUAGACCCCAACUUAAAGGAACUGUUUAAAUGAAAUAUAUGUUUUACUUUUAAAAAUGGUAAUGUAAAUUUAUUCUUAAUUACAAAAAACACUGAACAUAAUGGCCAAGUCGUUUAUGUUUUAAUUUUAUGAACAGUUUCAAAUAUAUUUGUCUUCCACAGUGUGAUCGUGAGCCCAAAUGAACCCAGUUUAGAUCUAAUAAUAGUGCGUUUCAGUUUCCACUUAUAGGCGCCGUUUGGGGGACUUUUGUUUUAAAAGGAAAUAUUUGCUAUGAAUUGUUAAUUGAAACUUGGAUACAGACCAACUUAGGGCAAUCUAAACUCUAAUGCAUACUUCAGCUUAAAACACCAAGAUUAAAAGAUACGUAAUAGUUUUCUGGAAAAGAUCUUUCACUUUAUAAGGGGGAAGCAAUGGGACUUUAAACAAAUAUGGACACUUUUCUUUAAUGUUUUGGCGGGAUUGGACUUGACUGUUGAUUUGAAUACCUAGUCAUUUUUGUGUACCGGUACAUUUAUGUGUGUAGUAUUCGAGAUAUACAGGACAGGAGAGAGGGGUGGUGUGUGUGUUUUUGUCUAUUUUUGUUUUAUCAAAUAUCAACAUUGAAAAAAUAAAAUGAUAAAAGAUAUAUAAUCGUCAAGGCCCUAAAUUAACACUUGAGCUCAUGAAGUCUGUAACAUGUGCCACAGUUAAAGAAUUUCUAGUUUGUGUGAGUUUCUCAAAAGUACCCAAACUAGUCCUUAUUUGAUUCAUUUCUUUAUAGUGAUAAUGAGGGGGUCUUCCCAUGAGUCAGAAUAUCCAAACUGUAAAAUUACCGGGUUCUUUUUAACUGAUGUUAACGUUUUCAUUCUUCUCAUCUGUACAAAUGUUUCUCUUACUUUGUCUUAUGUUUUGCUUCCACAGGUUAAUUCCCAUCUCAGUCUCUGUAGCCUCACACUCAAGAAGCUUGGAGGAUUUCACCAGUAGGAGGUGCCAUGCCUUUAUCAAGCACUGAUGCCGAGAGGGUGAAGAGGUCAGAGGCAGACACGGUGGGGUCUCUGCUGGGGACCCCCGCAGGUCCAACAUCCAGGUGUGUGUGUAGGUGAGUGUGUUAGUUCGAUAGUGGGCAAGAAAGAUUAGAUGACUUCAGGUGAUUUGACAAAAGUAAAUAGUUAAAACAAAAUAAAAAAUCUCAUAUUGAUUGAGCACAGUUUUCAAUUCAAUUUUAUUAUGUUAGGCUUUCAGUAUUCAUUUUCUGAACAUAAACAAGACAGACUUUUAAUCAUUCACACAAAAAAUGUCCCAGUUUCUUUCACCAAAUUGUGAACUCUGCUCCAAACCACAUGAGUUUACUGACAGAGGAUUGGCUGUAGACCUCUCCAAGUUAUUUAAUACUAUUAUUUUGCAAAUUCAGAUUUCUUAUGUCACUCUAAGUCUGUGGAGACCAGUGUCUUAUAUGGUACAAUUACUAUGGUACAAUUUUGGCUUUUAACUUCGACAAACUUUAUUGACCCACAAGGGAAAUUAUUUGAACAUACAAAAUAUUGAACAUAAAACAGUUUUUUUGUUUUUUUAUAUUAUACAAAGAAUUUACAACAUGCUUUUCCCCAUUGUGAAACAAAAAUACUGAACCACAGAGCAAAAUAUUUAAACAUGGCCCCUAAUAUUAAUGUAGAUUUGUAGUAUAAUAGCCAACAUCUUAUUAGAAGAUACAGAACUUCUGGUACUUAAAAUAAUAAUGUGCUAAGAAAUCAUCUACAAAUAGUGAAUGGAUUUCGUUAUUACAUGUAAGUGUAAAUUGAAAAAAAAAAAGACAAAGAGACAAAAGUUCUAAUUAAGGAAGUUUUAGGUGUAGCAUUAUCCAUGUAAUUUGCUGUGUAAUCUAGGCCUGUCACGAUAACAAAUUUUGGAGUGUGAUAUAUUGCUGAAUUAAAUAUAGACGAUAAAUGAUAAUCCUUGAAACUAAUUUAUACUGACACAAUAACCCUAAAGCAGAUUUAAGCUACUAAAACUAUUUAAAAUCUACAAUAGUGUUAAAAAAAUAUGAUCUUCAAUAAAUACGCAUCAGAAUGAAAGGGUCAUAAGUUAUUAAUUCAACCUUUUACAGCUUAAAUCUUAUUGUAUAGCCAAAAAAUAACCACAAAUUUCUCAGUUGUGUAAAGAAAGUACACAUGAUAAAUUUUGUCCCCUAAAAAUCUGAUUACAGCUUUCACAUAUUGAAUUCUAAACUGAUAUAGUAAUUACCUUAACAGGCCUGGUAUAAUCGUAACUGAUGCUUUUCCGACAAACUGUUAAAUGCUUUCCUAAAAGAAGUGCUACAGCUUUUAGGAAAGGAGAACUUACUCAUCAUUGUUCACAGCGUGAGUUUUCUAUUUGUUAUUGUUUUGUUUCCUUCUUCUGAAUGAGGAAGACAGGACAUUUAUCAGCAUCUUCUCUUUCUCUAUGAGUGUUUUAGGAAAAAGGAUGUGUGUCGGUAACCCGUGCUUCCCUGUAAUUAUUCAUUAACCAGAAAUUACACUGAAAUGAGUACAAUAUAUACAGUAUGUUUACUUCAUAUACUGUUUCUUACUGCUUUUUCUUCGAACUUUGGAAUACAUAAAUAAAAAGAGGACAGUUAAUGACUAAUGCUCCCCAGAGCACCAGUUUGCCUCAAGUAGCAUCAAUAAAAAAUAAAAUUAUAAAAUAAGCCUCACCCUUAAGUAAUGCCUGCUUAGACAUGUGAAGUGUGUCUUGUUCGAUAAUGAUGCAUAUUAACUGUAUUGAGUGAGUAUAUUGUCUAUCAAACAAUCACACUUUAUUUAUUAAGUGCUUUUCAAACAAAGAUUUGCAUCCGUCUAAACAAAGAACUUGUCCCUAUGAUUUUCACAUCAACCCUUAAUACCCUGUGUGUGUGUGUGUGUGUGUGUAUACUACUGUCGUCAUAAUACUACAAUUUCAAACUCUAUUUCAAAACUAAGGAAUUCACUCAAUACUCGAUAUCAGUUGCUACACCACAGUGAAGAUAAAAAUACUUUUUGUUUAAUAAUAGAAUGUAAUUUUCUUCAUCUUUCUUUUUUUCAUCUUUAUCAGAGCAUGAGGUCAUAUUCACUCUGAAGCUCAAAAUCAUACUAACACUGAUCAGGAAAGCUCACUUGUUUUUUAUAGUACUGAGACUUUCUCAAAUAAGUUUCUAGAUUGGUUUUCAAUUUUGACACCCCUACUAUGUAUACACACACACACAAACACCCACACCCACACACACACACACACACACACACACACACACACAUUAAAAUUGUGAAUUGAAAUAAUUUACUCCACACAGACUUAUGAGGAAAUUUUUUUGUGUAUAGUUCAUUUUUUUCUGCAAUUCUUGAAUCUCAAUGAUGGCAUUUACGCACAUUUCUGAUGCUUUUUUUUUUUUUUAAGUUCCCAUAUUACACUAUUUUUUGAUCUAUAUUAAAAUGCUGUUUCCUCUUCACAGUUGUGUUUUGUUUCAUUCACACAUGUUUAGCACACAAACGCUGCAUAUUUAGGCUGAGUUCCUCUUUCAAACAACAAGAACACACUCUGGAACAGUGUGUCAUGUGGCAAUACAGGAAGUGCUCCACUGUGUUUUUAAAUUCCAUACACCCUCAACAGAAUCAUUAGGAUGAUUUCAGCCCUGCAGUUGCCAAUCUUUAGUGAACUAAAAGUAGCUUUUCAUUUGAAAACUGCCACUUCGUGACAUCACAACGUGGAACAGAGCAUUUUGAGCUUUGGUUAAAGGGUUACUCAAACAUGUAUGAAUGAAAAAAACCACAACUUCAUGUAUGUUUUUGAUUAGGUAACAGCAUUAUAACAAGACUUUACUAUUUAUAGCACCUUUAAUUAAAAAAUGAAAAAUAAAAAAAUUAUAAAUAAAUAAAUAUAAUAAAUUAUCAAGACAUCACUUUUAUCUAUAUAAGCAUUCCCUAUAGCAUUGACUCAUACUUUUGGGUGACCCUUGGCAGCACCCUCUUCUCAGCUGACAGACUUCAGUUAGAGACACCUGUUGUUCCUGUGGUUUUUAUGCCCACAACAGAAAUCCCCCUCCUCCCCUUCCUCAGCCUCGUCCCACCUGCUGGACCUGUCCUUCUGCCUAUAUGGAGAUGAGACCACCUCCUCCACAUAUAUCUCUCUAUCCUCUUUGUCUUUGGAGCCCACCCGCCCACUUGAAACAGACCCUCUGCGCAGGUGGGCACAUUUCAGUUGCUAAUGCUUACAAACACAGGGGUUUUCAAUGGGACAGCUGCCUGCAAGGAGAGGGCAUGUCUUUAUUAUGAAUGAAACUGGCACAGAUCCUCAAACACUGUGGUGUUAACAAGGAAACUGAUGUCUGUUAAAAGAAAAGAUGCACUCUUUUAGCUUUUGGGACUUUUUUGUACUUGUGCUGAUCAACGCUGUGUGAACUUCUUGUUAACUGUGACUGAAUAAUUACUGCUUACAGAAAGUACUAUGUAUUUAUAGUAAUUGGUAACACACAUAUUAGCCAUUGAUAAUGACAUACUGCUCAGUGGUUAUUAAGCUAUUAGUGCAGUAUUUCUUGUUAGAGUUUAUCAAGAUCAUAAUCUAUGUAAAAAGCAUCUAUUUCUAUUUAUAUUUAUGAACAUUUAAUUAUAGUUAUAAUGUGUCCUUAGACAAGUGUUAAUAACAACUAUUAUAAAUAUAUAAUUAAAUUACAUAUUAUGUCUUAUUAUAAUUUAUUAAUUAAUAUGUGGUCCCUAAACUAAAGUGUUAGAAAAAUUGGCAAUAUAAUUAAUUAAAUGGCUCACAUUGCACUAUUUUGUAUGUUAUAAUGUUGCUUCCUCUUCAGAAAAAUAUCAGGAGUUGUCUUUUGUUUCAUUCACACACAAACUCCGUAUAUUAAGGAGGAGGAGUUCUCUCAAACAGAAAACACUUGUACUAAAACAGGAAGUGCUCCACUGUGUUUUUAAACUCCAUGCACUUUCAUUAUUAUCAUUUGACUCAUUUCAAACCUGGAAUUGGCCAUUUUUACUGAGCUAAAGAUAAACUGUUGCUGUUAACUUGACAACUAUAGCUUCCCAAACAUGUGAAUGAAACAAAACACAACUCCGGGUAUGUUUUUGAUGAGGUAACAACUUUAUAACUUAAACAAGCAUCCAUUCUGUGUACAUUUGAGACUUAUUAAUGCAUGAACAAGAACUUAUUUUAUAAUGAAUGGUUUAUUGUGAAUGAUUCUGGUAAAUCCUCUUUAUUAAGGGGGUUAGGAUAUAAAUUAAGUAGUUACUAAGCCAUUGUUAAUAAACUAUUUCUUUAUCAGGAGUUUCUUUAUAAAGGUUAAUUAAGAUCUACUUAUUAUAUAGUGUUACCAUAUCUAUUCUAGUAACUCUAAAUUCUUGUGUAGUCCAACUUACCUCCCUGCUGCAAACCAUAAAAAAUGGAAUAAAACUAUACAUAGCAACAGAAAACAAUCACUUUUAGUCGGUGUUUUCUCUGUGUUAAUGAACUCUCCCUCUCCCCUCCUCCUUCUUUUCUCUUCUUUUCCCCGACCUCACAUUUAGGAGCUCUGAACUCAAUGAACCGAAGAUUUAUUUUUCUCCGAAUCUCUUCCGCUUGCCUCCAGUUAAGACUCCUUCCAUCGCACAUGUUCGGACCACUUUACUGCCUUAAGGUUCUUGGAUAUUGAUAUGUGGGUUUCACGGGACCCCCUGGAGGCUGUUAGCACUUCCUAAAUUUUCCAGAACUUCUGCAUUCCACAUGUCCGGAGUGGUUUUGUACCGUAGCUAUUAGCCGUGAAGAAUUUUGAUAUGCCCUUUAAACGUGGCAUCUGCUUUUUCACCUUUGCUGACCCACUGUUUUAUGUGCACUUUAUUGUUUAAUCCUUAACUUUGAUUUUCUUCCUUAGUUCCUGUUUAUAUAUAUAUAUUUUCAUAAUCAUUUUCUCUUUUGUAUAAUUGGCCCUUAAUACUGUACUAAUCCUGUUUAUUUUGUACACAGGUUGCAACUGAAGCUGCUUAAUCCUAUAUAUCAACAAUGAUUACCAGAAGUGAAACGAUGCGGCUCCACAGGAGUGCCUCAGUGACCAUGAAAGAAAGAAAAAGAAAGUGGUGAUUUGAAGUUGUUACCUCUAUUAAACCAUGGUCAUCUCCACCAGACCCACAGACGAUGGACUGAUGUGAGGCAGAGGUAAUAGCUCGAGAAGGUGAUUAAUGGAUGGAUUUUUCCACUGUGCGUCUAUGGGCAUGGACAUGUUCUGGCUCCUACACAGGACAACAUGAACUCUGCAGACUCCAGCCAAUCGUUUUUCCUCUCAAAAGCAACAACAGACAAUGAGGAGAGUUUCUUUUAUUGUUUUGUUUUUUGUUUUCUUCUUACAUCAACAGAAAAUUAAGCAGUUUGAGUUUUUUUGUUUUUUUUUUAAUUCAGAGCAGAUAUCUAUAAAUCGCCCUGAUGGACACAAAGAUGAAUUUCACACACUGAUCACUGAGUACACAGUGUGCUAAAUGAUACUUUCCCAGUCUUUAACUAACAGAUGAUUGGCACGUUUUGCAAUUUUAAGGUGGUACUGACAUAAAUAUAAAUCUAAAUGCUUUUUGGAGUAUCAAGAUUAUUUCAGAUUAUAUCGAACCAACUGAAAAUGUUAAAAUAUGUCUUUAAAUCUAUAAAUGUGAAAAACAGAAGUAGUUCAUUUUUAACUGUGUGGUACAGAAUUUAUUCCUCACUUUUCUGAUUCAGUCUUAGCAUGCUUAUUAUUCACCACAGUGAGGCCAGAGCGGAGUUUUGCCUUUGCUCUAAUACUAACAACAACUAGCAUGCUAACAGCACACCAGAUGAUAAUCAGAAAAAGCUUUACAAUUAGACAGAGGUCUCAUUAUGACCUUAAAGGUGCACACGUAUCAUUUCCAGUGGAGGGUCGGCCCUUGCUUGUCUCCACUAAAGCAGAUUACAGCACUAUGCUACAUUACAGUUCAGAUCUGUGGAGAUUUGUCUCUAUUCACAGAAGCAAUUAUUGCACAAUAGAUACACUACUGGUCAAAAAUCUUAGAACACCCUGAUUUUUCCAGUUAUUUUUUGCAUUUCAAGUCGUGCAAGUUCAAUGAAGAGCUUGAAAUGGUACAAACGUAGGUACAGAACACUCAGGGGUUAAAAAAAAAAGAUAAAAGAUAACAACACAAGUCAAAGCUCUGCCAAAACUACUUCAGGAAAAAAGAACAAGAUGGUAAGCUUGAAAAUAUGGAGUGGCCAGCACAGUCUCCAGACUUAAGCCCCACUGAGCUGGUUUUGGGAUGAAGUGGACAGAAAAGUAAAAGUCAAGCAACCUACAAGGGCCACACAUUUAUGUGAACUUCUGCAGCAGACUUGGGAAGAACUUUAUGAAUAUUUGAUUUCUAUUGUAAAAAGAAUGAUGGCUACUUUCAUGAAUCAAAAGUUUAGAAUAUAUUUUGGUCAACAGUAAACAGUAAAAAAAUGGAAAAAGUGUGGUGUGGUUCUAAAACCUUUGACCAGUAGUUUGUGUUUAAUGUCAUACCAUGGAACAUUUUAGGCAAAGCAAUAACAUCUCCAGUAGGUAGUGCACCUUUAAGAGCUACUUUUACAAUACGUGUGUACAGGGGCAUUUUACCUUGGAAAAAGAAUGGUGCAUCCCCUUUAUGACAACGUGAGAGGGGUUGUAAAUUUAACUUUGACGUGGGUGCUACUGGAAACUGGCCCGAACACAUCUGUGAGAAUCUGCUACACAUUUCAUUUGAAGUACUUUUACACAUUCACUGAUGCAUUGUCAUUUUGAAAUAUCACCAUGGUGUACUUUGAUGCAGGCCGUUACAAGACAGUCAGAGUUGAUUUCUUUUGGGGUUUCUUCAGUUCAGUCUCAUGCGUGUGAUCUCAGGACAUAGUUGUGAAAGAUGUGUGUCUUACAUUCACAGUUCAUUGAGCCAAAGAAGGGGCAGAUCAUUGGUUAUUGACAGGUUUCACUCUGACUCACUGACUUCUCUCAAGAGGAAGUUUCCCUCUUUACAACUUUUAACUGUCAGUUUCCUUCCUGUGAGGGGCCCAGGUUUUACAACUCAUUCUCUUUCAUUCUUAAUCACGACAGAUUAUCUUUCAACUGAACAGAAAGAGGUUUGAAUCAUCCGUGUCUGACACCUAAUAUAACUGUUAAGCUUUUUCUUUUUUCUCUUUUCCCUGCCCAAACUUUAUUUAGCAGCAUUUCACAGAGGUGUCGACAUCAGUAAGGCAAUAUAUUUGUAUGAAGUCAACAAGCUUAAUAACAACAGAGGUAAUACAAAAUUUCAGUCAAAGAAGAACAAAAUACAAGCAGAUCUUUUAUUUGCUGGAUGAAAAAUGAGAUCCG